rnacentral:ribozyme from 1 species
AUAUGCAGGAUAUUGAAACAACAGGAAAGAGAGAGGAACACAAUAGGAAUACACGAACACACGUGUACACGUACUUGAUCUAUGAAUUUCCUUUUCUCUUUUUUCUUCUUAUUCUUCUGUCUGCCUCCGAAACGAAAAUGAAAUUCAGAGAUAAGGUUGA